rnacentral:misc_RNA from 1 species
GAUCCAAGAGGCUCCGCCGUGACGGGAAGGAACGUCGUCCGCAUGAAGCGUCGAACGCUCUUUGAUUUCGGGGUAAAUAGAGGUCGAUGACCUCGUACCGCAUCGCUGUUCCGCAUCCGAGAGAACGAGCGCCGCGACAUGGGCCGCCGAGUACGGGCGCUGUGUGCGCACGUGUCGUGGAUCACAUCGGGAGCUUCGGUGUCCACCCCGCACCGCAUCCGCAAAGGGCACAGCACAAGGAGGAAGAUGGACAUCGGGACAACAUCAUGCCUUCUCGAUAGGUAUACAACACAGGAAACCCACGUCGGUCAAGGCAAUCCGCAACUUGAUCCAACAAUUGAAGAGGCGUGCACGAGAUGCCGUCGCUGCCCGAGCAG